UCAUAUACUACCCAAACCCCUCACCACUGGACCAAACCUAAUUGCUUAAAUUAAUCGUAUAUAAUACUAAACACUGUUUUCUAUUCCCAAAUUCCCUUUCUUCACUUCACUGAACGUAUUUCUUCACUUCCCAAAUUCGUCGCGCGUCAAUUGAAUGAAUUCCUAAGUUGCUGAUAAUUGUUGUCGUAUUUCGUUGAUCGAUUAGUUGAUUAAUCGUCCUGGGACGUUGAACUUGUUUUCGCUUUCGAUAAUGCGAUGUUGUUUACAGUUUCUUUUUAUCGUGAUUAGAUUUUCUCAUUAAACCCUAAGUCAAGUGUUUCAGCCUCUUCUUUUCCACCGCUUCACCUCUCUCGUGUGACCUUAUAUUCUUCUCCACUGCACAACGAUUCUCUUUAUCUCUCUCGGUUCCAAAGCAUUAUUUCUGUGUCAGCCUCCUCUCUCGUCAGGAUUAUGCGCCAGCCUAUUAAAGGUGUUGAUUUCAAGAUCAAAACGCUAACCGUAGGUGGAAAAAGAUCAAAACGCUCCACAAAAUAUAUAAAUGAACAUCCAACUACAUCGUCGAAGAUGUUAAACUUCAGUCCAACGGGUUGACUGGUAUGCAUCAACUGAAAAUGCAACUGGCUUCUGUCAACCGCCUCAGUUAAAAAUAGCUGACUUUUCAUAGAAUUUUUUAGUUGGUAGUAUACCAAAAUGCUUGGAGUUUCUUCCAAGGUCGAGCUUUCAAGGGAACUGCCUCCAGAGCAAUGAUCUGAACCAGCGGCCUUCCAUAAAAUGCGGCAGUGCUUCACCCGCCAAGAGUCAACCACUGGAUGAUGUGAUUGAUCCGGUGAUUCCAAGAGGCAGUUUGAGAGAUUCUCUAGAAAUUGAAGCAUCUUUCUUGCAGAGAGAGGAAGAAUUGCUUUCUAGUUGGUGGAGAGAAUAUGCAGAGUGUAGUGACAAACUUCUGGUACCAAGUUAGAUAGACAUCAAGAGAGAGUUGGUGUUCCUGUGAAGGGAGGACUCUAUGAGUUUGGACACAGUUUUCUACGUUUCUUCUCUAAGCCUCAAAUUUUCAUACAAUCUCUCUUUCUUUUAAAUGGAGAAAUGAACAAGAGAGAAACAUGUUGGACUAAAGAGAAAUGAACAAGAGAGAAACAAUCUCGCUUUCUUGUAAAGUGGCAUUUAUAUACGAAUAAUGUUUGUUAUGUUGAUAGUGUUGUUGUGUUUCACAAUGCCAGUACAAGAUUCAGCGAUGGUGCACGAUUUGGACUAGGUGUGGAGGUUGGAAUAAGUACAAGCAGGAUUCAUGCUCGGGGGUCCAGUAGGAGUUGAUAGAUUGUUAACAACCAAAUGAGUUUUAUGGAAAUAAGCUAAAAACAACUUAUAGACAUCAGAAUUGUUUUCGAUUCUCAAAGGAAGUGGACAAGUAGUAGAUGGUGAUAAAGCAAUUAGCUACACUCAGAGACCUAACUACUUGAUUUGUAAUUUUUGCUAGUCAGAGAGAAUCCACAUGAAGGGAGGGAGGGUAGGCAGAGAAGGUCCCCUGGCCUGGUUGUAAUUUAUUUUCGUUAGACUUUUUCUUCUGUGUUGGGAGAGGUUCAAAUUGUACAAUAUUCAAUUUAGAGAAGUGAUGAUAAUUUGUGUAUGUUGCUGCUUUUGUAUUCAUUGUGUUUGUACAAUAAAA